AGACCGGUUUAUGUUAAAAAAUUACAAUAUAAAAAUUCAUUGUUUAAAAAGUUUAAAAACUUAUACCAUUUUACAAUUUUAUUUUAAUAGUAAAGGUAUAUAUACCUAUAAUAUAAACUAAUACACCAUCAAAAUAAAUAAAAAAAAUCGUGCAUAUUUUUUCAAAUUCCUUGUAAUCCUUGAAAAAGUUGUCCAAUUUUAUUACAUUUUGACAUGUCAAAGGCAAGAUGGAAUAGAAAUAGAACUCUAUAAACAUAAAGCUGUACUUAUGUAAAUAAAAAAAAAAAAAACACGUCAAUAGAUCCCACAGCUAAAGGCAAGUGCACAACAAUGCGGUCCCACCAAAAAGGAAGGUUGCAGUAUUCUUGUGGUCUGUGGUUCUGCGGUCACAUAUCUGCUGCACUUUGCUCACAAGUUAUUACUUCGGCGCCAAUGCGGAAGGCAUCAACCGUUUAAGGGUCGGUGUGCCAUUCUUCUCGUUAGUUGUAAACGUGGCUCGGGCCUACCAUAGCUAAUCUUCCUCGCAUUUCAAUUCUGGGCAGGUUACAGUCUGCUUUUUGUUCAUUUGUUACGAUGUUGCGAUUGACGGAUGCGCUCCUUGAUUAUGUUAAUAUAUUUUUUAAGGAUAAUACUUGUAUUAAUUUAUUCAGUGUCAGAUUUACAAGUAGUGCCAUAUUUAGACUUAUUUAAGAAAUGCAUUCUUAUAUAGAAUUGAUAUAGAAUGGGUCACCCUUUUCUUUCUCAUGGGUGUCGUAAGACGCGGCUUAAAGAACUUAAUGGUCGAGGUGUCGGUAGUAGCGUUCCUUGCAAAACAUUAUCAAAGCCUAACUGUGGUUGCCAAUCCGCCUGCCAAGCGUAGUAACUACUGACAAAACUUCCCUUAAGGGAAGGUCUAUGUUCAGCAGUGGAUAGUAUGUCUAGGAUAGUGAAAACUCGGAAUAAAACAUUAUAACUAGCCAUCUAGCCAGCGCGGUAAGGUUAGGCUAAUAGUUUCUUAUGGAUAGGACUAGUUUCACAGUGAGAUCAUGGGUUCGUGAAUUACCUGAAUCAUCUACUUUGAAAUAAAAAAUAUUACAAGUGUGGACACACAGCACCCUAAUUGCUGUUAAUUCAUUCCAGAAAAUAUAAAAAUCUUCCUGGUUGACGUAAAUAAAGCCAAGUUUCCAAUAAAAACUAGUGUAGCACGUAGAAUAUUAAAAAGAGAUAACUUGGCAACAAUAUAGCAAUCCAGUUAUUCAUUAUCGCAAACUAUCGUCUCAGCUUUACGAUACAUACGUCACCUACGUAUCACCUUAGAAAAAACGAAAACCCUAUUUGAAAGUCACACCAAGAAAAAGUAGUGGAACAAGCGAACUAAACGCUAACGAGCUGUGCUGCUUAGCACUUCCCAGCGCUUUUUAUGCUGACUGUUCACUUUGAGUAAUAGGAGGUUUUAUGUCCCAGUCUCAUUUCACUAGAAUUCAGUAUUGGAAAAUAAAGUGGCAAUGAAAAUUUCUAUCUGGACGUUCGUGCGAGCGAAGUGUUUUUUGUUAAAGUAGACACCGACUCCAUUUGUUUUAUUUAGCUCUAAAAUAAUCAUAAAAUACAGAUAUAGAGUAACUAGAAUGUGUAUUCAAAAUACUAUUAAUAUUAUUAACGUACGUUUUACGUUCGUUAAUAAUAUUUACGUUAUGCGUACGUUUGCCGGUGCAGGGUUGAUAUUCGAGAAUCUUUCUUCCUCAUCAGUUGUCAGUUCUUCGAGCUAUGUGCCUUGCCAAUUGCUACUUCAGUUUGCUUAUCCUUUUGUAAUAAAUAUAGUAUAAGAGUAAAUUCUUUAAAUUAAGUGUGCAAUGCCGUUGCUCCCGAUAGUUGGAAGGCGCGUCGGCUGGCACCGGGGCGCUGGUAUGCCCGGACGUGAACUUAUCCCACCUAGCACGGCACCUUGCACACAACAGGUAUACAGAGCACCGAUUUAAAUGAUCCUCAGUCGCCGACGCAGGCGGUGACUGUCGAUAUCGGAGGAUCAGAUGCGUGAGCACUACUAUAUCGACGAGUUCGACGACACGACGGCACGAAAAACACGACAAAUCCCGAUGACACGACGACUCGACGAUGACGAUGGCUAUUACUUCAAUUAUUCUAUUAACUAUUUUAAAACUGUAUACUAUCACUAUUUACUCUAUAAUCGGGAGGUCGUCCGGAACAUUAAGAAAGUACUUAUAAAAAUCGAGUCCGAAGUGGUAAUGUGUUCAUUAACAUAAUAUAUUAUAUUUAAAACUAUACGCAUUCGAAGUCAAUUGGAGAACCAAAAAUUGUAUAUAAUCUCGUGAUAGUAAGAUCAAUUAGUUUAACCAGUCAUGAGAACCUCGCCUCUAGAACACAUCCAGUAUUAAUUUUACAGCUACGAUCGUAACAAUAAAAUGGUCGUAUUGCCGCUCCCCGCUAGAUGUCACCAUUGGUAUCUUGCUCAAAGUAGGGAUCUACUUUGUAGAGAAAGUGUUUUAUCACUGAAUUAAAAUGUAAUCUUUUGUAACAGAGUUUCAUUUGAUCUCUUACCUUUUAUUGUGCGCUUUCGGCUUUUAUGGGAUAAACUGACAGUUCUGUUACGCUUGUGUGGGAUGAAAGUCGACGGUAUUGUUGCCAGUCCAUGGCCUUGUAUUGUACUUUCGACAUUCGAAUGCUUUCGACUUUACCAUAGAUAAAAGCGUUUAAACCUGAUAGUUAAUUUUAAAUCAUUAUUAAAAUAUAUAUUAGUAUUUUAUUAAAGCUUUUUUAUUAUCUUUUUAUGGCCCUUUCUGUUUUUAUAUAUCUUAAAGCAAUAAAAUAAGCCAAUAAACCACAAUGUUAUUAAUACGUUUCUAUGAAUAUUUCACUUAAAGAUAGUAUUAUGGACUAAUUCGUAUGUAAACGACAUACGUAAAUUGGUGUUCGCUAUAAAUCGUUGCAAAUCCGCGGCGGGUUGUAAUCUCACAAUAAAUUGAAUAUCUAGGAUAAGUCUCGUGUCUAGUAUAUCGGCUGCGCAAAUAGACAAUUUAUGCAUAGACGUUAUUCCUGACUCACGCGUGCUAUUCGGACAUCGAGCGGUAAUAGAUAUGAACAAUGUGUAAUUUGUUACAAAUGUGAUAUUUGUUUUAAAUAUGUCAUUCGUUUUAAAUGUGUCAUUUAUUUCUAAUGUGUCAUUUGUUUUAAGUAUCUGAUCAUAGUGAUGGUAAACUACCAUGGGCUUGACUUUUCGUCCGGUUUACGACUAUUUUAAGUUUAAUAUUUAUAUCUACUUCGAAUCGUAUUCAUAGCUGGUUUCUUAGUCUGUUUUAGUACAAGCUUGAUCAGAACUAAGUAACCGUAAAUCUUGCAGGCUUAAUAGCGGUGUAACACGCCAACAAAGUUCCUUAUACUGAGAUUUUAUUAUAUAUAAUAUUUCUUAAAGAAAUGGUUUUGACAUUGACGGCCCAUUGUAAGUGCUACUGGUCUGUCAAAUACAGCUUUGGUAAUUUUCUGCGAAUUUCCAUGAUGUUAUUUAGAUAUUUACUUGUACAUUGUCAGCGUAAAUGAUAGCAAAUGUACGUAAACGUAAAAUGUUUCUCAGUUUCAGACUUAGAACGUUGCGCUACUAAUAUACAAUGUAACACAAUACUAUGAAAUGUUGUGUAUUACAAAUGGUGGCAAAGAUUCAAGUAUCAAAUUUCUUUUUUAGGCACGAUAUAAUUAGUAACAAACAUUUAAACAUCCUAUGUUUAGCAAUAGCUGAGAUUGAUUGUAAUUGAGAUUGAUGAUGAUUUGAACAUCCAAACAUCAAUAUAAAUUUUAACUUUUAAUAGUAUAUUUGCUGAUCCAACAGACGUUGUACUAUUCAAUUUCCAUUUUUUCUUUCGCUGUAAUUCUCAAUAAAAUAAAAAUAUAAAAAAAAAUUAGCUAAAUCCAACUAUUUUAAAGUGAUGUACUUACCAACGAUCAGCAUUUGAUUUUUAUUUAUAUACUUACACUCAACAUUCGAGCACACCAACAUCAACAACGGUUUAUCUACUACUAGCUUUUUCCCGCAACUUCGUCCGUGUGACCAUGACAUGUUUAAUUACUUGGAUAAAAAGUAGCAUAUAUAAUUUUCCAUCCCACCUAGUACGUACGUGUACACUAAAUUUUAUAAUGAUUAGUUAAGGAUCUAUAAAGUAAAAAAACAAACAUACAAACUCACUUCCACAUAAUAUUGGUAAGGAUAUUAGCCCCCCUAUAUGUAUGAGUAUAUAGUUACUAGCUUUUGCCCGUGACUUCGUAUGCGUGGACUUUAGAAGUAUUACUCCCUUAAUGCUUGAAUUUUUAAUAUUUCAUUCUUAUUGUUUACCCACACCCACAUUAAAAGACCCUCUCUACCAAAUUUCAAGAUUCUAGAUUCAGCAGUUUUGGCUGUACGUUGAUAUAUGAGUCAUUCAGUUCAGAGAGGAUAGGGAGUGAAAUUAAUAACGCAGUCGAAACUGUCUCUCUGUCCGAAAUCGAUCAGGAUUCAUAAUAUCAUAUCAUAUAUAUGUAUAUACUUGUAAUAUGGAUUAUAAAAUAUUAAUGUAGUAUAACUUUCAGUGCAUCACUAGCUUUCUCCUAAGUGCUACAUUAUCGAUCUGUGUGAGUUUGACUCUCUAGUAACACUAUGCACAAAGUAAUUAAUCCACUUCGGCACGGUUACACCCCCCUCGAUUAAUUAGAGUAAAAGUCAAACUGGUCGUAGAAAUCCCUCGCCGCGCCCUUGCAUUUAAUCUUUCUUAUCUAAGUCUAAUAUUAGAUAAAAAAAAAAAAAAAAAAAACUAUGUUAUCUUAUAAAGUUUCAAUGAGACAUCUUAUUGAAUAAAGGAGUAGAUAAAGAUAUGAUUUAUUUAAUAUUAUAUAAUUCGUAGUAAAUAAAUACUCUUCACUUCUCAAACGUUGACCGUUGAAUCAACACUUUUUUGUUACUGACUUUUUUAUUUUAUUUUUUUUAUUUGUGACUAAUCGGUUUUUAUCUAUGGUAGCAAAUAAAAAAAAAUCAUAUAGAUAUAGCUCAUUCCAAUAAUUUUAUAAUCAUUUUUUUGAUCCUUCCAGUCAAUAAAGAAUGCCUUAAGCUUAUCUUUUAAAGCAUAUUAUAUGAUAAGCAGUAUAAUUCUAAAGAAAAUAAUUAAAGUUUAAUUAAAAAGAAGUGGAAUAGGACAUGUGAAUCACAUGCCAACUGUGCCAAGCAAUGGGUGUGUAAAAAUCUGUAGGUAUACUUGGUUCCUAAGAGAAGUCGUGGAAGAACUCGUACACGAUGAAGAUAUAACCUCAACCUGUUACACAAAGACUGGUACGCCCUGACCAGCAACCGUGGGAGAUGGUAACAGUUAGCGGCACCUUUGUCCAGCAGUGUAAUAUCACAGGCUAUGACUGAGUGAUUUAAAAAUAAGUAAAAAAAUUUAGGAAGGUAGUUAAGUAUUUGUCUUGGAUGUUGACUGUGGAUGCGAUUAAGGGAACUUAAUGGUCUAGGGAUAGGCAGCAGUGGCCCUUUUUAAACGUCAACAAAGCCUAACCGCGGUUGCUAACCCGCCUACCAAGCGUGGCAACUACGCACAAAACUCUCCCAAUAGGAGGAGAUCUACAUUCAUCAGUGGACAGUUAACGGCUGAUAUGACGACGAUGAUGAUAAGGUAAAUAUUAUGUUAAAUGCAGGAAUGUGACAAAAAUUGCUGAUAAAGUAAACCGUGUUAUUACUAGAAGAAGUACUGCAGCACUACCUUAAUGCAGCUUGUAACACAUUCAAUAACUCAAUGAAUGUCUCGUUAACAUAAAUGUGCAUCUAAACGUUGCUUUCCCGUAGUAAAGAUUACAGAAUUACGCAUUCAAGAAAGCUGUUAAGAGCUCGCCUCUUUGUACUAAAGAGAUGUAGCAAUAUUCUAAAGAGAAAAUAUUAUAUGUUUAUUUAAAUAAUGUUAACUAUUCACCAACUCUGUACAGCGUUUUUUUUACUUUUAAUUUAUUUAUGUAUCUGUAUAAAAUUUUAAUUUUUUACAGAUACAUAAAUAAAUUAAUUUUUUUUUAACAAUAGAUGGCUUUGUAAAUUCAUUAUUUUACCCUUUGAAGUGUAGAUUUAUUAAAUAAUUUCCAAUAACAUGGAUUUCACCCCCAUACUUUAGAGCCUGGAUGGUCGUGUACAGCGCGGUUUCAGAGAUGUUUCCUCCCACAAAUGCUCAGAUUCAUCAGGUCAGAUCAGGUUUUUCCAAGAGACUACAACAUGAGGGUCUGCGAAAAGGUAUACAGAGGUUCCUUCAGGAUCAGUAACGUACGCCCUGGUAUUGUUUGCCACCUCAGUGAUAUAAAAAAAAUCUUUAAUAUUAAUCCACCCAUAGCCUGAGAUAUAUGCUAAUGUACCCUGGUGUUAUAAGAAGGCGACCAAGAAUCGAACGCGAUACUUUAUUUACAAAAAGCAACACCCAUAUCACUGCGCAAAAUAAACACUAAAAUAUAUAUUUUACAAAACAUAUAGAAUUAACUAUAACCUUAUAAACUAGGCAAGGAGAGAGUUACAAGUUGUAGUUUCGUGAUGGCUGUAUAAAUGUCAUUUAUUAGUUUUCAAUUUUAAAUGAAAUCUCAAAAGAGUACAAAGUCGUUCGUUUGACACCGUCUGGAUUCCACCGCGAUGAUUGAUCGAUGCGCUUGAAUUAAGCCAAUUAUUGGGAAAAUCUUGUUAUCUGAAAGUUUGUUCGUAGCCCGUAUAGAAAGUCAGUUAUGUAGAAUAGCGUCGAUUAUGCUCUAGGUGCAGGAAUCCAGUGUCGAUGUCGUUGGGCAUCCGUCUACAAAUCACUUACUUUAAUUGAGUACAGAGUACUGAAUGUUGGUGACUCGCGCGCAGAGCACGCGAUAGUACUAGAUACGGCAAUAGGCAAUGCAAGUCAGGCCUCAUGGUAAAUUGUCAACGAUUUAGUGAAAUUACUAGGUAACUCUAGACACCAUCGACGUCAACGUUUCACCAGAGAGAUAAUACAGGAAAGAAAAGAUAUGUAAUCUUUUUGAUAUUUAUUUUUCUAUAUUUCUUUUUUAUCGUUAAUAAGGUAAACGAGCAGAUGGAAAUGCUUGAUGAAUAGCAACUACCGUCGUCCUUAAACGUCUGCAAUACAAAAGGAGUUGCUUGCGCGUUGCCGGCCUUUAAAAUUAAUAAUAAAUAAAUAAUAUUUAGAAUAACAACAACCUUAAACGUAGUAAUUACUAAAUGGUUUAAAAUUUAGAUAUCCUAAGUCAAUAACAGUUAACCACACAUAUUACAAGUGGGUAUUAAAAUUAGUUGGCACAGAUAAUCUUCAGAGCGAGGUGUUGUAAAAAAAGAAAAGAAAAUGUUAAGUGUUUAAAUAAAAUAUAUUGAUGAGUAAAGAAAUGUGUGCAUAUGUAUGUAUAUGUAUAUGAGUAUCAGUGUGUGAUUGUGUUGUCUACAUAAAAUAGUCAUAGGAAAUAUGAUUAUCAUUUCAUUUUUUAGAAAAAAAAGUUAGGUACUUUUUAACGCAAUUGUGAUUAAAGCAAACAAUGGGCGAGGUUUCAAUCCUCACCUUUGAUAGAAUUCGGCCCCUUCUAUCAGUUAGGUAAAUGGACUACCGUUUCAUUAGAUACACGUCUCGGAAUUUUCACACAUGGCGCCACUUCGGGAACACAUUACUUAAUCUACCCGCGACAGUUAGACUAUCCAAUGAACCACAAUAACCAGUUUCAACUCGUAACUUGUAUGACGAUGACAAACGGGUUUCAAAUUCCGUGCGUUUCAAAUGUUUUCAAUUCUUAAAAAAAUAUAUUUUAUUUUUAUAAACACUUGGACAAUAUUAUAUUUGCAUUUCAUAAUUUAAGUGUCUAGUUUUUAAAAUUUCCUCAGUAUGUGCCAUUGUAAGAGAAAAAGUUAAAAUAUUAAGUUAUUGUUAAUUUUGGGAGGCCUCCAGUAAGCAGUAGUUUAAUUGGUAAAAACAAAGCCUCGGCAUGACGUGAAAGGUGCGAGUCCAAGUUCCGUCCAAUUAAAAUUUUUUUAAUCACUCAACAAUUAUUGGUAUAUGAUUUUCAUAUUUUACAUUCAUAAUUUCUUUACAUAUUUAAUUUCUUUGUACGUGUGAUUUUCCUUACAAUAUCUAUCAGACGAAAAUCUUUAACAAAAACCGACUCAAUCAAUUAGGAUUACGAUAUGUUAUCAUCGUAUAUUUAUAAAAAAAAUAACACGUUAUCGUACUUACAUUUUUUCUUAGAAUAAAAUUGUUAUGCUUGUGCUCCUUGAACCUCCUUUAUUUCGCUUCCUAACCCUGGAUGUCGAAUCGUGACCACGACGAGAACAAAGGUAUCCUAUGUAGGAGGAAUAUUACUUUGACAUCCAAAGAACAUCAUUUGUUUACGUGAAUAAGCUGGCAUAAGCACCGGAGUGUUAAGAAUGAGUGAGAACUGUGCUUCCAUUAAGUGUAAAACAGUCAUUACAUUCAAUCAAUCUGGACGUAGCCGUAAUGUACCGUGCAGGUCGCAUGACCUCAGUUCUAAGUCGGAAGAAAGUUACUUCACGCUUCAUAUUUCCAAUGACAUUAGUGAGAAAUUUGUAUAUGUAACUUGGAUGUUUCGGUUGUAAUCAAUUUUGCAUAGAAACUAUGUAACAUGUUACGUUAUAUUUGUAAAUAAUUUUAAUAUUAUUAAUAUGUUUCAAUUUUAAGUAUAUUAUUACUAUUAAAAUAGAAUAUGUAUCUACUUAUAUGCAGGUGGCUCAGGACCGUUCCUUAAGGCAAUCUAUGGGGGAGGCUUAUGUUUUUUUUUAAUAGAUGAUAAUGGAAUGCACUAAUGGUUAUACACUAACAGGGCACUAGUGAAGGAUGAUAGGCGAGGAUGCAAAGGCAGGUCAGUUAGCUCAUCGUGACGAAUUCAACGAUAAAUUAGUCACAAUCGUUUCCAGGGAGAACCGCGUGGAGGUCGACCUAAUAAGGUACAUUGAUAGCAGUGGGGACUAACCUCCCUAUUACUAACAAUCCCUUCACUCCUGGAAGGAACUGAUCACCGAUGGGGAAGAAAGAUUCUUGAAUGGUGACCCUGUACGGGCAAACGCAGUAUAGGACGACCCUUCACUAGGUGAAGUGACGACCUCAAAUGCAUUGAAGAGCGUCAGUGGAUGCAGGUGUCACAGGACUGUUCCGUUUAUGGGAGAGACCUAUGUUCACCAGUGGAUAGAUAACGUCUGAUAUGAAGUUAAUGUACUUACCUACUUACGAAACAAUAAAUAAUACACGUUCCAGGAUGCAACGACUUCCAUCAUUGUAGUGAGGGACAAGAGACAAGGCGACGUUUCGCUGCGUAGGCGCAGUUUACGGUCGCAGUAUAUAGUUGGCUAUUUGUGAACAUUGCAACGUUAUACCCGGUAAUGAUGCUUAAACCGAGCUAUACGCUUCGCAACAAGGUUAUGGAAACAAUAAGAUUAUUGGAAAGCGAUCAAUCAAUUUGUUUUAAAUAGAUAUAUUGAAUUUGGGAAAAUACUCUUAAUUUAUUUAAUAUAAAUUAAUGAUAAUUUAUUGUACUUAUAAUACAAACGUUAAAUUCCCAGAUUUAUUUAAUUAUUUAUCUAUAUUCCGCAGGUUUGUUCGCUUAAAUAAUGAUUUUCACCAUUAUCACGCCGCAGCGUUAGCUAAAAUGUACAUUCAAAUUAUGAUUCAUGUGUAAACAAAACUUUACUCAAAUUAUACCAACCAUUUUGUCGUGUUUGAGUAGCAAAAAAUCUUUGACUACCCCAUUAGGUAUUACGACUGUGAAAAUAUAUUUUUUGUACAGAGAGCGGCUCCAAACUUUAGCUGAGUGUUGGUGAUUACUUCGUUAAAAUAUUGCCUUCGCAAGUCUGCUAAUUAGUGUGUAUUUAAUUACGGUACACCUUUGUAACUAAGGUACAAGAGUUGCCGUAAUGGGCCGUUUAUACAUGCUGAAAUCGAAAUUGUUAGCAACUUUCUAAGGAAGUCGUCUACCAGUGAACCUGAAUAUUGUUUACGAAUAAAAAUGGGUCAAAAUAACAAAAACAAAUUGAUAUUCCAAUACUAAUUUGAUAGCUGGACGCACCAUAUUGGUAUAGAAGACUUCAAGUUUUUUUUAGUUUUUGGCCCCUGUUUUUUUUUUAUAGUUUAUUUUAAUAGAACUUAAUAAAAUUGUCUAUGCUUCAUAUUUCUAUGUCAAUGACAAUUUACGAGGCUCUCCCGCCAGUUUUGCAUGUCAAUCACUUUAUUUAUUAUUCUUGUCUUUGGUCGAAUUGGUAUCAUCUUUUUUUACUUUGUCAUGUCUGCAACUAAUGAAUAAAGUAAUAAUUUGAUUAAUCAUAUUUAUUUUUACAAAUUAAUAAUUUCAAAGUGAUCGUUUUGGCGACCGUGACAGAAAUGCUAACCAAGUAUUGUUGAAAUUAUAAUAGAAACAUUUUUUAAAUAAAAUUAGUUACAAAAUGAAACAUUAAAUCAAUUUAUUGUUAUUUUUUUAUUGAUACUAACAUUUGGACAGUUGGACAUCAGUUGUUUUAUGGUAGGCUCAUUUAAAUUCUGUUUCAAAAUAAUUUAAUGAGAAUGUAAACAAAUGAAUUGUUUACAUUUUUAUUGAGUUUUAUUGAAGAAGACUAUAAAAUACUUUUUAAUUUCACUUGUAGGACACUACCAUAAAUGGUUUUGAAUGCAACUUUCAGCAUAUUAUGGUUAUAUUUUUAUCGCAUAUUAAUUGUCGAUAAGCGCUCUCGUAACCAAUACAGACGCCGGCCUGUUAUGGAUUGGACUCGAGUUUUAUGAGUAUCUAUGAAGCUAAUAUUAUUAUUAGCCUAUUAUUAACUGUUUACUAAUAAAUAUUAAAAUUGCAUAUUACAUGUGUAUGUGUAUGUGUAUGGCCCAUUAACGCAUGUAGACAUCACAAUUCCGUGUCGAAAUGCAAUACCCGAUACGACCAUAUUCGUUAGCGAAAGUUGAUUCUGGAAGCGAAUUUCGCUAUAUUUGUAUUAAGACAGAGCCUCAUAAAGUUUAUAUCGACAAAUGUAUGAAACACGUUCGUCGAUAAUCCGGUCGGAGAUACGGUGAAAUUACGUCGAGAUUGUAUCUUGGUAGUAAUACUGUAAUUUCAUGGCUAAUAUGAGAUUGUUUGAAACUUGUAUGAGUUUAUACUGUUCAUGACUUUAUUGAAUAUGCCGAAAUUCGAUAUUUUUGUUUCUUUCUUAUGAAUGGUUAUAACAAGAAUUAUAAAUAAUAAUAUAUAUGAACGCGGUAUUGAAUACGUGAUUUUUAUUUUUAUUAAUACAGUAGUCAGCAGGUGCAGUUAUUAUCAAAUUGGAAAUAUUUUUAUUUAUGAAAAAAUUUAUUUUUUAAAAGGAAUUUUAGAGACAGUAUGUUUUUUGAUAUUUGAUACUAAAUAUGGUUUGGUUUGGGUGUUAAUAUAUAGUAUGUAUGGUUAUUGAAUGAAUGUGUAAGUAUAUUUUCAACCGACUUCAAAAACAAGAUGCUCAAUUCGGUAGUUUUUUUAUGUUUGUUGCCUCAACUCCGUCAGUUGUAAACUGAUUUGGAAAUUUCAUUUUUAUCUGAAAGGUUAUAUUUACAUAUUAGUUCCAUAGAAAUUUUAUCAAAAUCGGUUCAAUAGAUAAGUUUUUUUAAUCAACCAGUUAGGUUUUGGCACAAUUUAAGUCGGUAUUUUUUAUAUUUUUAAUAAGUUUACUAUUGUAAUCUUUUGGAGGAAACAAUAAAGUCUUUCUUCCUAUUUUUUAACACAAUUUCUUAUAAUUUGUAUUAUAUAGUGUAAGGUAUAAAAAAUAUAACUAAUAGGUAUCUGCAGUGAAAUUUACUUGUACAAAUACAAUAUGGCGGUCUUAUUGUCAUUAGGUAGUUCUUGCUACUCGUGUGCCCGCGAAAGUUCAAGGUAAAUCUUUUCUAGUAGGGGGAAAAGGAUUGUUAGCAAUGGAGUUUGACAGCCCUAUUGCUAGCAAUAUACCUUAUUAGGUCGACCUCCACUAUUAUUUUCCAUUAUUAUCCAUUAAAAAAAAAACAUUUCUAGUAUUUAAUAUUAUAAAUCGAAUCGAAUUGAAAAAGCCCGACCUGGAUUCGUAUGAGUAGAAAAAUAUUCGAAAUAUAUAGACUAUGUAACUCGUUGAUAAUAUACGAGUAGCUUUUUAUAUGUAGGUGAAAGAAUUUUUAAAAUCAGUUUAGUAGUUUUUAAGUUUAUCCAUUACAAACAAGCAGACAAUUAAAUCUUUCCUCUUUAGAUUACGAUUCUGGAACUUUUAAGAAACAAGUCAAGGAGUUCGAUUCUGAAGAUGUUUGAUUCUGACACAUUGAGGUCUGAUUCUGAGGUGCCAUUUCUUUACUCUUAACCUAAGAUUUUAAUUUGAUAAUUUCGCGAUAUUACUAUUUUAUAGUAAUAUAGAAUCUUGAUUAUUCGUAUCAAACAAAACCAGGGAUAUUCCAUAUAAUCGAAAUUCCGGAUAAUUGAUUUUAAAGUCGAAUCAAACAUUACAUAAUUAAAUUUUAAUAUUUUUUAUUAUGUAAAGGAUUUUACUUAUAUUCAUUUAGACAAUAUGAUAUAAAAUAGUUACGAGCUGUAAAAAGAAUAAAUUAUAUAAUAUCUGUUUACUCAAUUAAUACAUAAUACCAUUUCUAAAUCAGUAAUUAGAGCUGCGAAGAAUAAGUCCGGAUAAUCGAAUGUUCGGAUAAUCGAGAUUAUAUUGUACAUUAUUAACCUUGUUUUAAUCUAUAAAAAAAAUGACGCGUAUUGGUCCUUAGAAAAAAGAUUUCGCUGUGAUAUCGAAUUCGUAUUUAAAUAAAGAGAUAGAUAGUAUUUAAAGAAAUGGCAUCUCAGAAUUGACCCCGUUGUAUUAAUACUCCACCAUACGAAUUCAUCUCAAUUUUAGAAUUGAGAUUUGAUGGGAGAGAGAAUUUUAUUAUGGCAAAAUAUAAUACUUCAUUGAAAACGUCAUUGUACGCGUCAAUUCGGUCCGGACGGUCGAAUACCGAGUCUAAAUAAGCAGGGCAAAGAAACACAUCGGUCGACUGGCCAAUGGUAUGUUGAGAGGGCCCCUUUUUGAUUUAUUUAUACUUUACUCCGGCAAAGGGGAACGGUUUCCUGAUUCAAUUAUUGUAAUUGUGCCGACAUAGUAACAACUAGUGUUGUCUUAUAAUCGUUUGGUGUCGAUUACCGUACAAUUUGAUUGAAGCCACAAAUAGUUUUAUAAUCAAUAAUACGAUAUAAAAGAGUAUUUAAAAUAAUUGAUUACCAUCUACUAUUAUAAUUCGUAUUUUAUUAAUUAAUAUUUGUAUAAUGUAGGUAAGUAAUUAAAAUUA